rnacentral:rRNA from 1 species
GAUGAACGCUGGCGGCGUGCCUAAUACAUGCAAGUCGAGCGAACGGACGAGAAGCUUGCUUCUCUGAUGUUAGCGGCGGACGGGUGAGUAACACGUGGAUAACCUACCUAUAAGACUGGGAUAACUUCGGGAAACCGUAGCUAAUACCGGAUAAUAUUUUGAACCGCAUGGUUCAAAAGUGAAAGACGGUCUUGCUGUCACUUAUAGAUGGAUCCGCGCUGCAUUAGCUAGUUGGUAAGGUAACGGCUUACCAAGGCAACGAUGCAUAGCUGACCCGAGAGGGUGAUCGGCCACACUGGAACUGAGACACGGUCCAGACUCCUACGGGAGGCAGCAGUAGGGAAUCUUCCGCAAUGGGCGAAAGCCUGACGGAGCAACGCCGCGUGAGUGAUGAAGGUCUUCGGAUCGUAAAACUCUGUUAUUAGGGAAGAACAUAUGUGUAAGUAACUGUGCACAUCUUGACGGUACCUAAUCAGAAAGCCACGGCUAACUACGUG